UACGAAGGGGGCUAGCGUUGCUCGGAAUCACUGGGCGUAAAGCGCACGUAGGCGGGUUCUUAAGUCAGGGGUGAAAUCCCGGAGCUCAACUCCGGAACUGCCUUUGAUACUGGGAAUCUUGAGUCCGGGAGAGGUGAGUGGAACUCCGAGUGUAGAGGUGAAAUUCGUAGAUAUUCGGAAGAACACCAGUGGCGAAGGCGGCUCACUGGCCCGGUACUGACGCUGAGGUGCGAAAGCGUGGGGAGCAAACAGG
rnacentral:rRNA from 1 species